AGUGAACGCUGGCGGUAGGCCUAACACAUGCAAGUCGAACGGCAGCACAGUAAGAGCUUGCUCUUACGGGUGGCGAGUGGCGGACGGGUGAGGAAUACAUCGGAAUCUACUUUUUCGUGGGGGAUAACGUAGGGAAACUUACGCUAAUACCGCAUACGACCUACGGGUGAAAGCAGGGGAUCUUCGGACCUUGCGCGAUUGAAUGAGCCGAUGUCGGAUUAGCUAGUUGGCGGGGUAAAGGCCCACCAAGGCGACGAUCCGUAGCUGGUCUGAGAGGAUGAUCAGCCACACGGGAACUGAGACACGGUCCAGACUCCUACGGGAGGCAGCAGUGGGGAAUAUUAGGCAAUGGGCGCAAACCUGAUCCAGCCAUACCGCGUGGGUGAAGAAGGCCUUCGGGUUGUAAAGCCCUUUUGUUGGGAAAGAAAAGCAGCAGGUUAAUACCCCGCUGUUCUGACGGUACCCAAAGAAUAAGCACCGGCUAACUUCGUG
rnacentral:rRNA from 1 species